GGGUCAGUAGGCUGGUCGUGCCACCGGUACGUACUGGUCUCACUGAUUCCUCCUUCCUGAAGAACCGUAAUGCCAUUAAUUUGGCGUUGCGGGGAAACAGGACUGUUACUUUGAAAAAAUUAGAGUGUUCAAAGCAAGCUAACGCUUGAAUACAUUAGCAUGGAAUAAUGAAAUAGGACGAUCGAUCCUAUUUUGUUAGUUUCUAGGAUUGACGUA
rnacentral:rRNA from 1 species